UAUGAACGCUGGCGGCGUGCCUAACACAUGCAAGUCGAGCGGACAGACGAUGCUCUUGCGUGUUUCACGUUAGGGGCGGGCGGGUGAAACACGCGAGUAUACCGUACCUGUCAGACUGAGAUCACUUCGGGACAGCGGAGCUAAUACCAGAGGAUAUCCUGCAGCGCAUGGUUCGAUGGUGAAAGACGGUUUUGCUGGCACUUAUAGAUGGUUCCGGGCUGGAUGAGCUAGUUGGUGAGGUCACGGCCUACCAAGGCUACCAUGCGUAGCCGACCUGAGAGGGUGAUCGGCGACACUGGAGCGUAGACACGGUCCAUACUCCUACGGGAGGCAGCAGUAGGGAAUAUUAGGCAAUGGGCGAAAGCCUGACGCAGCAACGCGGCGCGUGUGAUGAAGGUCUCCCGAUCGGAAAACCCUGUUAUUAGGGAAGAACAGAUGUGGCCUGAGACGUGGCCUUAUUGACGGUACCGAGUAAGAAAGCACCGGCUAACUACGUG
rnacentral:rRNA from 1 species